rnacentral:rRNA from 1 species
CUUGGUCAUUUAGAGGAAGUAAAAGUCGUAACAAGGUCUCCGUUGGUGAACCAGCGGAGGGAUCAUUACAGAGUUGCAAAACUCCCAAACCACUGUGAACUUACCAAUCGUUGCUUCGGCGGGCCGGCUCUACGGCCGCGCGGGUCCCCCCCCAGGGGAGCGCCCGCCGGAGGUAUCUAAACCAGACGUUUUUGUAUGGCCUCCCUGAGCAACUGUACCGAAUAAGUCAAAACUUUCAACAACGGAUCUCUUGGUUCUGGCAUCGAUGAAGAACGCAGCGAAAUGCGAUAAGUAAUGUGAAUUGCAGAAUUCAGUGAAUCAUCGAAUCUUUGAACGCACAUUGCGCCCGCCAGCAUUCUGGCAGGCAUGCCUGUUCGAGCGUCAUUUCGACCAUCAAGCCCCCCGGCUUGUGUUGGGGACCUGCGGUUGCCCGCAGGCCCUGAAAACCAGUGGCGGGCCCGACGGCACUCCGAGCGCAGUAGCACCUGUCUCGCUCAGGGCGUGCCGCGGGUUUCUUCCCGGCCGUUAAACAGCGCCUUUCGCAAGGUUGACCUCGGAUCAGGUAGGAGGACCCGCUGAACUUAAGCAUAUCAAUAAGCGGAGGA